CGCGAAGUUUGGAUCCCCGGAAUGAUUUUGUUCUUUAAGGGAGGAACAACAGCCGCGGGCUCCCGAGGUCCCAAGCCGAGACAUUAGGAAUCUCUCGUCCAAAGAGAUUUACUUGACGUUGCACAGCUAGUUGGACAGGUUUGGGACGAGGGCUCAGUGUUCUUUCCCCUGUAUGCUGUAGAGUUCUAACCUAAAAUAACUGGGUCCAGACACCAGGCAGACACCAGAGCCUUCAGAUUUCAGAGAUCCUUUCUUCGAGGACUAAAUCUCUGGACUUCUGCUGGGAUGCAGAAGGGAAUAAAAUUCUCAUGCAUUUCUUUCUCCUCGGAGAAGCACUCUCUAUUCCUGAUAGCCACCAUGGAGCCACCUGUUGCUGAUCAAAGAAGUUUGAUUAUUUCUGAAAAUUAUCAGUGAUCAUGAGACAAACCCUCCGUUUUGUUAUACAGUAGGUCCCCUACAUACGAACCUUCAAGUUGCGAACUUUCAAAGACACAAAAGUGCGUUCCAUCAACGUCAGGCGUGAGUGAAAUUGGAGCUUGCCCUCCAUCUCCUAUUGCUGAUGAUCCUUCAGCUCCACCAUCUCCCACCUCCUCUCCCUCCUCCAGUCAGUAACUCUUCUUGCCUGGUCACUCGAUGCCAGCCCCUGUAUGAGAGCUGU